AGGCGAAUAGACUGAAGGAGAAAUCCGCUUCGGGAGGGGCCUGCGUCCCAUCAGCUAGUUGGUAGGGUAAAGGCCUACCAAGGCGACGACGGGUAGGGGACCUGAGAGGGUGACCCCCCACACUGGCACUGAAACACGGGCCAGACACCUACGGGUGGCAGCAAUAGGGAAUAUUGCACAAUGGGCGAAAGCCUGAUGCAGCAACGCCGCGUGCGCGAUGAAGGCCUUCGGGUCGUAAAGCGCUUUUCUGGAGGACGAGGAAGGACGGUACUCCAGGAAUAAGGCUCGGCUAACUACGUGCCAGCAGCCCGCGGUAAAACGUAGGAGCCAAGCGUUAUCCGAAUUCACUGGCGUAAAGCGCGUGCA
rnacentral:rRNA from 1 species